rnacentral:misc_RNA from 1 species
GAUGAAAUUAAGUGCCACGUGUUGGAGGAAUUUGUCGGAAUAUGAUUCUUUUUUCUUCAUGAACCUAGAGAGCAAGUCGUCAUGUUGGGGCCCACCGUUGUGAUGAUUCAUCAGCUCGAGCUUACGUGUAUUGAUGAUGUCGGUCAUGUAAUUGUCCAAUUGUUUCAAGCUACGGCUCAAGCUCACCUCAACUCCAAGUCCAAGCAUUUUCUUCAACUUCCAAACGAACUCAGGUAUAAUGAACCGAUGCAACGUGGCUUCAGUGGCUCGAUCAAAUGACGUGGCAAAAAUAUUCUCAGGUAACCCCGGAGAGAGCGUCUCAGGAUCUUUACCAAAAGUCAAACCACAAAUGUUAUCAAAUGUGAGCCUCAGGAGAAGAUCCUGAAGUUCAACCGGCUUGCCCUGAACCUGAGCCAUUUCAAGAAUCGGGCAAAACCUAUUCUUAAUAGCUCGGUUCACCCACCGACCCAUAGCUUGCCUCAAGGUCCGCGUGGUGAAUUCUAGCGCAGCAGUCUUGCGCUGGAAUAGCCACGUGUCACCAUCUGAAUUAAAGAUACCCUCACCUAACAAAUCAUGGAACACAGCUUGCCAAGUAGGACCCUUAGGGUAAUUGUCAAAUCUAACCUUCAAAAUAUGUUCUAAAUUUUUUGGAUCGCACGUGACCGUCACGAGACCUUGUUUCCGGGCUAAAAAGGGAAUUGCACAUAUGCAUGUUUGGUAUGUACCCGUGCAGACCCGAAGAUUUUCGGCGAUCCAUUCAUGCAUCCGGUUACCAUUUUCUAGCAGGCCGGGUAAACUUCCAACAAUGGGCCAAAUUUUUGGGCCUUUGGGCCCUUUCAUGGAUUUUGUGAUGGACUUGAACCAAAGUAAAUAGGCCACUACAAUUGCUACAAUCAUCAUACCCGUUGAUAUAUCCAUUUUGCCCUUAAA